ACGACGUAGGCGGUUUGGUCAGUUGGAUGUGAAAGCCAGGCUUAACCUUGGAAUUGCAUUCAAUACUGCCAGGCUAGAGUACGUAGAGGGGGUAGAAUUCCACGUGUAGCGGUGAAAUGCGUAGAGAUGUGGAGGAAUACCAGUGGCGAAGGCGGCCCCCUGGAUCGAUACUGACGCUGAGGUGCGAAAGCGUGGGGAGCAAACA
rnacentral:rRNA from 1 species